rnacentral:tRNA from 1 species
CGUAGCUCAGCCCGGAUAAAGCGUUGGCCUCCUGAGCCAAAGGUUCACAAGUUCUAAUCCUGUCG